CCAGCGAGCUCAUCAUCAACCGUCACCUCCAGGUGCCCGUCGCUUCCCAGCCGCACCCGGACCCCUGCCUUCUGGCUGACUACCACAGAACCGUCAGAAGCCCGGCUGAUUGACACAGAUGUCAGCACUUCAGCUGGGAGAUCCACUUGCUGGCCAUUCACCUGGUAGUGGGCACAGGCAAACAAAGAGGCUGCAGACUCAGUAACCAUGUAUUUGCUUUAAAUAACUGUUCUGCUUCGGGGGAUAAUUUAACACUUCUAAUUGUCUUUGAAACUUCUUUGAAAGAGGUGACCUCUUCUGUCCAAAUACUUUUUGUGUCUCACUUCUCCUCUGCCAGAUGACUGGUGACAUAGACAAAGAGGAAAGGUAGGUACAGACCUGAGAAGAUGGGUGGGAAGGAAGGAAGGAAGGAAGGAAGGAAGGGAGGGAGGGAGGGAGGGAGGAAAUAAAGGAGGAGAAAUAGAGGUGGAAAGUAAAUCCUGAAAGGAAGGAUAGAUGCGACAAACAGUAGAUGGAGACUCAGUGGAUAGAAAGCCUUACCAGCUGCCAGCUUUUCAAGUAUAAGAACUGAGUCUGAGCCAUCUCUGUUACCUAGCAUAGAGCCUGGCACAGAAGGAACAGGGCCGACUUUAUUCAUAAAACCAAACUUUACCUCGCACCUUCUAGCUGCCAAGUCCUGAUGUAUCAGAGAUAAGAGGGGAGUUGAGAUGGUUAGGACCUCUGCUCACCUGAAAUUCAUGUUCCAGUGAUGGAGAACGGUGCUGAACACCUUCUGGGAGUUCCCUUCUGCUAGGCUAAAAUUGUGGUGAUCGCUAGGCAGAGGGUUCGUACGUGACCAACUCCCAGUGAAAACCCCAGGCACUGAAACUUGAAUGAACUUCCCUGAUAGAUAACAUUUCACAGAGGGUUUGGUUUGGUUUGGUUUGGUUUUUGGUUUGGUUUGGUUUUUUUCACUUCUUUGUUGUGGUACUGAGGUUUGAACCUAAGGCCUUUGCACUUAGCUAUAUACCCAGCCUUUUUCAAAUUCUUAUAAUUUAAGAUAAACUCCUGCUAAAUCACCCAGGCUGGGCUCAAAUUUACAAUCCUCCUGCUUCAGCCUCCCAGAGUACUGAGAUUACAAGCGAGUGCCACCACACCUGGCUUAUUUCACAGGUUUUCUCACAGAUUACUAUUUCUGGGGAAUUAAAUAUAUCUGAUGUGAUUCCACAAGAAGAGGAUGCAUGGCAGCUUGUGUCCAGUUUCUUCUGGAUUUUGCUGGAUUCGUCUUUCCCCAGUAAUGAUUUUGCUUGGUAAAAGCUUUUCAUUGUGGUAAUUCUUAGUUUAAGUGUAGCUGAGUUCUUCUGGUGAAUCAUGGAACCUAGAAAUGCUCUUGAGGAACCCUGACACAUCAGGUGACCCCUGCCUGACCAAUUACAUCCCUAAGUCCACAGUGAUUGGUUCCAGCAGUGGGCAUGUGAUCCAAGUUGACCCUAUAAGAAAAAGAUUCUAGAUCUCUGUUGGAUCACUGUCUGUUAAGUAGUUUAGCUGUAGGGUGUAGACCUGGGUCAGCUGGCAAGUUGUCUUUGACCCUGUCUGAGAAAGGUGAUUUGGUAAACAAGAAGUCUAAAAGGUAGAGGUACAAAUCUCUGAUUAUUUUGCUAGGACAAUGACAUUCAGCUACUCCUGAGGCUAUAUCUUUGGAUUUUCUAGUUAUAUGAGACAAUAAUUCAUCUUUGCUGAAGGCAGUUUGAACUUGGUUUUCUGUCACUUUAAACCAGCAGAGCCUUAAUAUUAAUAUCAAAACUACCAAGUUAUGUGAGUACAUUUUUGCUACUGAAUGACUCAGCCACUCUGGGCAUGAAUGGCAUAUGCCUGUAAUCUCAACACUCUGGAGGCUGAGGCUUCAAUCGAGUGAGAUCCAGUUGAACCCCACCCACCAAAAUUUCAGCCAGAACAGAGUGGACUAUUUCUGAAAUGUUUAAAAUAUAGAGAUCAAACUGUAGAGAUCUGGAUAAGGGAAACAACAAGGCAACCUGGAGCAUGAGUCGCUGUGAUAUAAGGAACAAAAGCCCAAGUAGAGACAUUUCCCAGCAUGUCCCAGCUUACCCAGACGCCCUUGCUUCGGGUCACAGUCACUAUCCCGUCCUUGAAGAAGAUGUGGACCUUGUCCACAGCCUUGGCAUUGUUCUUGCAGGACUGGACGUCAGCAAGCACACGGUACCAGGGGAUGCUCUCCUCUAGUCCUGAACAAUGGGAAGAGAGCUCAUAGAUGCCAGGGGAGCCAAUGGCGCUGUGGACACCGUCGAAGGUGGUGAGGUUGGCACCCACAGAGAUGGAACAGAGCCCAUGGGCCACAUGGCAGACCCAAGAUCCUUCCUGGAGAUCACAGACUUGGUCUGCUGGGCAGCUGGUGGCCUGGCAUGUCAGGCCAGUUCUUGAGGAGCAUGAGCAGCACUCACUGCAGUCUGACAUUAGCAGGCUGGUGUUCACCUGUGCACAGAAAGGGGCCAGGUUGGGGUGGUGUGAGGCACUGCACACCUCCAGCCACCCUCUGUUUCAUGCAGUGUGUGUUUUUGUUUUGCAUUUUGUAGUAUUAAGAUUUGAAUCCAGGGCUCUUUUCAAUGAGCUACAUCCCCAGCUCUUUUUUUAUUUCUUACUUUAAAACAGUCUGGUGCUACGCAUGGUGGUUCAUGCCUGUAAUCCCAGCACUCAGGAGGCUGAGACAGGAGGAUCACCAUGAGUUCAAGGCCAGGCUGGGCUACAUGGAGAGAUCGUGUCUCAAAAAAACCAAAAAUAAUAAAUACAGAAAUAAAUAACAUUUAAAAAAACCAGUCAUGCUAAAUUGCCACAUUGCCCAGGUUAAGCUUGAACCCAUGAUCUUUUUGCCUCACGCUCCCAGAGUGCACGGGUUACAGGCAUGUGCCAACAUACUUGGGCUUGCAGGUGGUCUCCCAGCAGACUCCCGUUCAAAAGCAGAGUGCAUUUUCACUACCCAUGAACCCAAGCUGGUCCCCAGACUGUGCCUUGUCAAUAAAACAGCAGAAGCACUGUUGUAGAA